UACGUAGGGAGCAAGCGUUGUCCGGAAUCAUUGGGCGUAAAGCGCGCGUAGGCGGCUCGAUCAGUCUGUUGUGAAAAUCAAAGGCUCAACCUUUGAAUGCCGAUGGAUACUGUCGAGCUAGAGUCCGGAAGAGGCGGGUGGAAUUCCUGGUGUAGCGGUGGAAUGCGCAGAUAUCAGGAAGAACACCCGUGGCGAAGGCGGCUCUCUGGGACGGUACUGACGCUGAGACGCGAAAGCGUGGGGAGCGAACAGG
rnacentral:rRNA from 1 species